GAUGAACGCUGGCGGCGUGCCUAAUACAUGCAAGUCGAGCGAACAGACGAGGAGCUUGCUCCUCUGACGUUAGCGGCGGACGGGUGAGUAACACGUGGAUAACCUACCUAUAAGACUGGGAUAACUUCGGGAAACCGGAGCUAAUACCGGAUAAUAUAUUGAACCGCAUGGUUCAAUAGUGAAAGACGGUUUUGCUGUCACUUAUAGAUGGAUCCGCGCCGCAUUAGCUAGUUGGUAAGGUAACGGCUUACCAAGGCAACGAUGCGUAGCCGACCUGAGAGGGUGAUCGGCCACACUGGAACUGAGACGCGGUCCAGGCUCCUACGAGAGGCAGCAGUAGGGAAUCUUCCGCAAUGGGCGAAAGCCUGACGGAGCAACGCCGCGUGAGUGAUGAAGGUCUUCGGAUCGUAAAACUCUGUUAUUAGGGAAGAACAAAUGUGUAAGUAACUAUGCACGUCUUGACGGUACCUAAUCAGAAAGCCACGGCUAACUACGUG
rnacentral:rRNA from 1 species